rnacentral:lncRNA from 1 species
AAAAAAAAAAAACAAAGAAAGAAAAAAAAGCCAAGAACGACAGGAAAAGGAAAAGCAAACGCUGCUCCCUUCUCCUCUCUUCUCUCUCAAUCGAUCCUCAUCGCAUAAAUUUGUACGCAGAGAAGUUGCUUCUACUGAAAUCGGGCCUGCCUUUCUCCUAUCUACGGACUGAUUUCUCGUUGUUGGAGAUCAGUUUUGGGGAAGAAAAACAAAUCAAAAUCAAAAGCCUUAAGGCAUGGGCCAAGCUUUUCGCAAGCUUUUCGAUACCUUCUUCGGCAACAGUGAGAUGAGGGUACUCUCUCUCUCUCUGAUAAUAUAUAUAUAUACAUACAUAUAUAUAUAUAUAUAUAAUAUUGGAUAUACACAGAUUUACUUGUAAGCAAGUUUAGACAAUUUGGUUAGAUAUUUAUGUAAGUAUUAGAAGUUUUUACUUUCCAUAUUUUGAUUUAUGUUUGUUAAUAUUAAAGUAGUUGUUACAGCUGUUUUGUUGUUGAUGCGUUUCUGUUCUAUGGUUAAUACUGUUUUCCCCCUUUUUAUUUUUUCUGUAAUUUUUUUUUUUAAAAUAUAAACAGUGUAGUAUAUUACUAUAGGCACCAAGGGGUUGUUGCCUAUGUACAAAAGAAUUUACAUGUCAAUUAAAUUAUCCACAAGGUUUGAUAAAUCCUCCAAAUAUUAAGAUUUUUAUUUUCUGUUUGGAAGACGUUUGUAUUCUACUGUUCUUUUAUACCAGCAAAGUGUACCCAUGGAAAAUUUUAUGGUACUCAUUACGUAUAAAUUCAUGUAAGUAUGAUAAAUCUUUUCCAAGAAGCUAAGUUAGUAUCAGGAGCUGAAAUAAGUAUCCAGCAGGGUUGGUGUUGUUUUUUUUUUCCCCAAUUGUUGUUUAUGUAACAUUGUUGCAAUCUAUUGCUCAUGGGUAUAGAACAGUUUUCUAAUAAACUUAAUUGUUUAAUACAGAAAAUAUGUAUUACAAAAAUACAGAAUAAUGUGAACUUUGUUACUGAAUUGGCUUCCAAGUAGACAGUUGCACUGGCUUUACGGAAAAGUAGGGAAAAUAUUGUGGGUCUUCACAGCACAGCAGUUGCAUUGAUAUUUUGCAAUGUCCCCGUGAAAAUAUACGUGUGUGUUUAAUGUUUGGGGCAUUCGUCCUAUGCUUUUGACGGAAUUAUUUUGAAGGAAGGGACGAACUUAAUAAUGUUUACUGUAGGUGGGAAGGUCUUUUCUCUUGGUACUGUAUUGCAAUGCUCUGAUCAAUGCAACUCUAUUACAUUUUUUUUUCGUUUGUUGUUGCAUAUUGUUUUGCUAG